rnacentral:misc_RNA from 1 species
CUUAAACUGUUUUAAAUCUUUUACAAUUUGCAAUAUUCAUUUUGGACUUUUGAGCACUAAGUCUUACUGUAACAUAUUCAUACGUAUAUCAGCAAACGUAACCGUGCCCAAGUUUGCGAUGACGUGUAUACUAUUAUUUACACUACGUCACUACGUACAUAUACUUUGUGUAAUUCAUAUACAUAUGAUGUACGUCAAACAAGAACCACUGUUCUUCGCAAUUUUCAAUUGUAUUUUUAAUAAAAAAAGUUGAAGUUAUUGAUUGAAUGGUAGUCGUGACAAUGUUUGGAUGAUUCGUUUGAGAUGGUUUUUGGUUUCCAUGCAUUCCUGAUUACGCAAUUUGAAAGACAAUUGGUUUUCCAAGAAAAGGUUCCAGUUCUUUGAAGCUUGAAGAAUAGCCUGAUCGUAGAUGACUUAUAACGGGAAUUUUGUCUUUCGUUGUUACCACUGAUUCGUUACUGCAUUCCCAAUUAUAUAAUAAUUAUCUUAUUUAUUGAUUUGUUAUUUGUUAUCAUCGUUAUUCUGUUUUCUACACACAAAUAAAUCCUUACAGUCU